UGAAUAUUCUGCUUCGGACGAAUGCGACAGCGCGAAGAAAGUUCCAAAAGGGAAGAUCAAAGAAUGAUCGCGAUCAUCGGGGCGGAAAUACUAACAGCCUUCUGGGAUUGCAAUGGUGUGGAUUUGCGGUGGCAUUUGAGAGGCUUUCAAGCGGUGCUACGGUGUGCGGUCGAGAUGCGUCGGCUGGUAACUUCAAACUUGACUUCAUUUAGGAGAACUGGCAAAGGUAAACUGAGAAACGGCCGAGAAGUUAUCGUGCAGGGCGGUAGUUGAAUUGGCGGAACGCGUGAGGGAGGUGAAUCAGAAAAAGCCUAACUGUUUGUAUACGGCUGGACGAUCGGAUGGAUUUUCUGGCCACGAGCAAGCAGUUACAUGGCGUCUCAGUAGGUUCAAACGUUGUGGAAAACCCUGCACUCCUAUUACUUCUAUAAAUCAAAUCUAUGCGAAGAAGCGUUAAAUUGUGUUUAAUAUAAUAAAAACAUGAGAAAAUAAAUCAUCCCUGGAAUUAAAAGAUUAGACUUGCCUCUAUAAUCAAUAUUCAGAAUAUAUUUUUGUCACUCUAUUUGCAUUGCAUAUUGAUA